rnacentral:rRNA from 1 species
AACGAACGCUGGCGGCAUGCCUAACACAUGCCAGUCGAACGAGACCUUCGGGUCUAGUGGCGCACGGGUGCGUAACGCGUGGGAACCUGCCCUUAGGUUCGGAAUAACUCAGAGACAUUUGAGCUAAUACCGGAUGAUGUCUUCGGACCAAAGAUUUAUCGCCUUUAGAUGGGCCAGCGUUGGAUUAGCUAGUUGGUGGGGUAAAGGCCUACCAAGGCGACGAUCCAUAGCUGGUCUGAGAGGAUGAUCAGCCACACUGAGACUGAGACACGGCCCAGACUCCUACGGGAGGCAGCAGUGGGGAAUAUUGGACAAUGGGCGGAAGCAUGAUCCAGCAAUGCCGCGUGAGUGAUGUAGGCCUUAGAGUUGUAAAGCGCUUUUAACCGAGAUGAUAAUGACAGUAUCGGGAGAAUAAGCCCCGGCUAACUCCGUG